ensembl:lncRNA
GACUUCUCAUUGGGAAGGAAGAAGGAAACUGUCAGUAAAGCAGCAGCUGCAGUGGCUCAGCCGAGUGAAGGAGGAAGUUGCAGAAUAGGCCUUGGCUGCUGCUGCUGCUAAGUCACGUCAGUCGUGUCUGACUCUGUGCGACCCCAUAGACGGCAGCCUACCAGGCUCCCCCGUCCCUGGGGUUCUCCAGGCAAGAACACUGGAGUGGGUUGCCGUUUCCUUCUCCAGUGCAUGAAAGUGAAAAGUGAAAGUGAAGUCGCUCAGUCGUGUCCAACUCUUCGCGACCCCAUGGACUGCAGCCUACCAGGCUCUUCCGCCCAUGGGAUUUUCCAGGCAAGAGUACUGGAGCGGGGUGCCAUUGCCUUCUCCGAGUGUAGUAAUAUUUAGUCAUGAUAGGGAAUGAGGAGGAAGAAGCAGACAUUCUGGGUGACAGACUGGAUUUGGCAACCAAGGAGAAAUAUAUACCAGAAGGUGCCAAGUUAAGAGACGAUGGAGCUGGCUGGAUCCUUCCAGAAUGGAAAAGAAGCUCUUUUGAAAGAUGCCUGGGAAGGAAAGCAACGUGUCAAUACUUUCUCUACUGUUGCCCACUGUCAAGCCCUUCUAUGUCAGUAAGAGCAGGAAAAGAAGGCCCCUGGAAAUUGCCAUUCUGCAAAUAAAAGCUUUAAAUCCUCCAGCCAGUCAUUAACUUUGAAAGAACAUCUGACAUUUUAACUCUACCAUACCCGAGAAGGUGGUGGGGAUAGGUCUGUCAAGGGCAUGACACAGGCAAGAUCACGACAUAAGCAGUAGACUGUGCCUGGAAGAGGGGGCAGCAUGUGCAAAGGCCCUCCUAC